GUAGGUGAACCUGCGGAAGGAUCAUUAACACUAUUUUGAUUUUUUCUUCUCAUAUUUGAGAGAAAAAUCAUAUCCAACCCCACUUGAAUGAACCUAUUUUAAAUCCAAAACUUCUAUUGGGAGUUUCAGGUUUUACAAAUCUGAAAUUUCCACUAUUUAUUUUACCCCUUCUACCAAACAUGCGAUAGACUGAUAUGAAAAUAAUCAUUAUUUAAAAAACAAUGGUUAAAACAACUCUUAGCAACGGAUAUCUUGGCUCUC
rnacentral:misc_RNA from 1 species